GAAAGCCGGACACCCGAGAUCCCAUUUGUUUCGUCUCCAUUAAUCAUUCUCGAUUCACCGGUGAGUUUGUUUUGAUUUUCUAUUAUUAAUUUAAAAUCGUCUGUUUUAAUUGGUGGAUAGCGGCUGACGCCAUAGGCCGACCUGGCCGUAUCGCGCCGCACCGAAAUGUAGGCUAAUGGUGGCUUCGAUGGAAAUUGGGUCGCGUCUUCCGAUUCGGCCACCGGCACCAACCUUAAUUGGGUAGAUCACACGCCGCUGACUUAUUAUUUACCUACACGGGUUUACGUCUGGAGAAAAUCACGUGAUCUCCCCGGGCCGAAUGUCACCGGGAUGGCUAAGGGGGACGGUUCGUUAACCCUGGCCGAUCUAGUUAACCUCCUCCGCCUCCAUCUCUUAACCGAAUAUAAUCUGCAUAGGACAAAUGGAAAACGAUUGCCAAACUGGAAACCACCUUCCGGUAGAAGUUUAAAUAAAACGGCUAGGACAAAGGAAGAGAUCUUCGGUGCUUCCAGCUGGAGAAUCGAUUCGAAUGCCUACAAAAAUAAAUCUGUUUUCGUGAAUUUGUUCGGUUACGCUCGGACAACGGGCCGGCUUUAUCAAUCGACCGGAUGACAUUCACGCUCCGAUCAUUCUUAUUCCGACGUGUUCAGAAAUUGUAUUUUCCGGUGCGUGAACCGGGAAGGUAGUUUUAAUCGAUAUUCUCUGCACUUAAGAAUGGUCGAGUCACCGUGUCUGAAACGUGACAAUGGCUUUAACACUCGGAGUGCCCACUUGUGUCUGGACGCUAAUUCGGUCUGCCAGAAGUUGUUUGUUCGGUAGGCGCCCGUUCUCCGGGGUGAAGUGGUGUCGGGUCGAGUAGAAAAGUCUCGAUUGUCUUAGCGGCACCACCGCCGGUUGGCCGGUGGUUACUAAUU
rnacentral:lncRNA from 1 species